UGCCAGCAGCCGCGGUAAUACGAGAGGUUCGAGCGUUACGCGGAAUUACUGGGCGUAAAGCGCACGUAGGCGGAUUAGAAAGUUAGAGGUGAAAUCCCGGGGCUCAACCCCGGAACUGCCUUUAAAACUACUAGUCUAGAGUUCGAGAGAGGUGAGUGGAAUUCCGAGUGUAGAGGUGAAAUUCGUAGAUAUUCGGAGGAACACCAGUGGCGAAGGCGGCUCACUGGCUCGAUACUGACGCUGAGGUGCGAAAGUGUGGGGAGCAAACGGGAUUAGAUA
rnacentral:rRNA from 1 species